GCCCGUAUAGCUCAGUGGUAGAGC
rnacentral:ncRNA from 2 species